UGACAAUUGAUUUGCUGAACAAUGUAAUGGAUUUAAGUACAAAAUGAACAUUUGACAAAUUGGCCAGACGUAUCAACAAUGGACUUGUAAGAGACAAUAGUUACUGUUUCUUAGACGUCAAUACAUUCAAUUAGUUUAUUAUUGCAGUACCACGUUUGACAAUUGAUUUGCUGAACAAUGGAAUGGAUUUAAGUACAAAAAGAAACAUUUGACAAAUUGGCCAGACGUAUCAACAAUGGACUUGUAAGAGACAAUAGUUACUGUUUCUUAGACGUCAAUACAUUCAAUUAGUUUAUUGUAAGAUUUGUGUAUUAAAUUAAAUCAUUGGUUUUUAGAAUGUCAAAACUAUUAUAGGUAUUUAAAUAGGUGUCAGUUAAUCUCAAAUAUCAUACUAUUAUUUAUACAAUCCUUGUCAUUAUCAUUAUAGUAAGUUUUGUAUUUGUUUAAAGAAACAUUUAAUGUAUAAAAUGUAUUGUUUAAUUGAAGUUGUAAUCAUUUAAAUUUUCAGUAUUAUAUUUUUUAAAGUUUUUUCAAUUUCAAACUUUUAUGAUAAUUGAUUCAAUCUUCAUAUUUUUCUACAAUUUCCAAUACGGUUAAUACACUGUUAUCAAUUUACUUUUUCCUUAUUCCUAUUAUUUUUUUUUUGCAUUUUACACUCACAGAGGAUAAGUCUAUGUCCACUUAAUGGUAAUAACAAAUCCGUUUUCUCGAGUAAUCUCAGUUAAAUUAUUGUAUUAAUAUAAUAUUCCACACUCUCGUGUCCUGUACUCGUGUGCCUGUAGUAUUAAUUAUAAAAAAUGGAAAAUGUGACAUCACACCAUGUAUGUAAUAUCAGUAUACGGACAGUACGUUGUCCGUAACAGUUACUUUAAAGUCAACUAUUGAUGUAUCCGGGCGCAUGGACUACUAUUGUACGUUCUCGGCCGGAACAAUAGAAGAACGUGUUACCUAUCAAGUACAGCUUUUAAUAAAAAAUGUUAUGAAUUAUUUUCAUAUAAUAUUAUCAAUUAUAUAUCAGUUAUAUUUGUGAUUAUGCGGAAAGUUGUGUUUUGGAAGGUUUGUAUUUUGAUUUUGUUGGAUUUUUUGUAUGCUCUCCAUUACUGGAUCUCGUGUGUCAAAAAGGGAAUUAAUUAAGUUUUGUAUGGGUUUGAUUAGAUUAGUUUAGGUCGUUCGUUCACGAGUUUGCCACUUGUUUUUAUUUGUAUUUAUUUUAUAUAUUUUACUAUAUUGUACGAGUAUUCUUUUUAUCUAUACUGUUGUUAUUACAUAAUAUUUGUACUAUUAUACUAUCCGUUGAGCUGGCAUGGGCCAACUAUUAUUACAUUUUUAUUGCUGAGUCAAACAAUUAUAUUAAUAUUAAUAUUA